GUAGGUUAUAAAUAGAUUGAUCCUUCUCGAAUGUGUUUUAUCUUCUUACAUCUGUUUUGUCAUUUCUCUCAUAGCUCGCUAGGUGUACAAAUACAGUAACCUGCACCUGAACAAUGUGUUAUUUCUUUAAAUCUCAUAAAACAGGCGGGUGGAGACUAAUAGAAGGCUGUUUGAAAAAGCAGCACACACUUUGAAGGAAACGUCCCUCCUCUGAACAUCUUCACCUCUCUGCUCCAGAGGACCUGACAAGAAUACUUUCUGCCUAUUCUGAAACACAAAGAUGGCUGUAGCUCUCACUCUCCUUCUUGUUGGCUGUCUGCUCCCAGGUGCCCUGUGUGGACAGUUUGAGAGCAUUAUACA